GACGAACGCUGGCGGCGUGCUUAACACAUGCAAGUCGAACGGAAAGGCCCUGCUUGCAGGGUGCUCGAGUGGCGAACGGGUGAGUAACACGUGGGUGAUCUGCCCCUUACUUUGGGAUAAGCCUGGGAAACUGGGUCUAAUACUGGAUAGGACCAUGCUGUAGGUGGUGUGGUGGAAAGAUUAGUUUCGGUAAGGGAUGAGCUCGCGGCCUAUCAGCUUGUUGGUGGGGUAAUGGCCUACCAAGGCGUCGACGGGUAGCCGGCCUGAGAGGGUGGACGGCCACAUUGGGACUGAGAUACGGCCCAGACUCCUACGGGAGGCAGCAGUGGGGAAUAGUGCACAAUGGGCGCAAGCCUGAUGCAGCGACGCCGCGUGGGGGAUGACGGCCUUCGGGUUGUAAACUCCUUUCAGCCAUGACGAAGCCCUUGUGGUGACGGUAGUGGUAGAAGAAGCACCGGCUAACUACGUG
rnacentral:rRNA from 1 species